AGUGAUUAAAAGCACAGUCGAGCCGCAGGGGGCCGCUGCGGGGAGGGUCUUCUUGGGGCCGCCUUGCCCCGCCCCAGUCCGGUCGUGGCUGGGGUUCGAGCCACUGCUCCGCAGGCCUGAGUGUACGGGGCAUGAGCGGGGUUUGGGGGGCCGGAGGGCCUCGGUGCCAGGCGGCGCUCGCGGUCCUGGCCUCUCUGUGCCGGGCCCGGCCGCCCCCUCUCGGGCUGGACGUGGAGACUUGUCGGAGCUUCGAGCUGCAGCCCCCGGAGCAGAGUCCGAGCGCGGCCGACUCAGGCGGGAACCUCCUGCCCGGGCGGUGCGGACCCUGCGCCGGACGUAGCCCCGGCGGCCGCCCGAGCCAAGUCGAGCUUACCGGAGCCGGCACCUCUGUCAGCCUCCUCGCCGUGGUAGUUAUUGUGUGUGGCGUGGCCCUGGUGGCAGUUUUUCUCUUUCUCUUUUGGAAGCUGUGCUGGAUGCCCAGGAGGAGCAAGGAGGCUUCCAGCCCCUCUUCUGCUAACCCUGCUUCAGAGACUCUCCCAAGUCCCAGCUCCAGACGCAACAUGGCGGAUAAGCUGAAGGACCCCAGUGCUCUGGGCUUCCUGGAGGCGGCUGUGAAGAUCAGCCACACUUCCCCAGAUAUCCCAGCCGAGGUGCAGAUGUCAGUCAAAGAGCACAUCAUGCGUCACACGAGGCUGCAGCGACAGACCACAGAACCAGCAUCAUCCACCAGACACACGUCCUUCAAGCGUCACCUGCCACGGCAGAUGCACGUCUCCAGUGUAGACUACGGUAACGAGCUCCCGCCAGCGGCCGAGCAGCCCACCAGCAUUGGCCGCAUCAAGCCUGAGCUCUACAAGCAGAAGUCAGUGGAUGGGGAUGAUGCCAAGUCUGAGGCCGCCAAGAGCUGUGGGAAGAUCAACUUCAGCCUCCGCUAUGACUACGAGAGCGAGACCCUGAUUGUGCGCAUCCUGAAGGCCUUUGACCUCCCGGCCAAGGACUUUUGUGGAAGCUCUGACCCUUACGUCAAGAUCUACCUCCUGCCCGACCGCAAGUGCAAGAUGCAGACCCGGGUGCACCGCAAGACCCUGAACCCCACCUUUGACGAGAACUUCCACUUCCCCGUGCCCUAUGAGGGCCUGGCUGACCGCAAGCUGCAUCUCAGUGUCUUUGACUUUGACCGCUUCUCCCGCCAUGACAUGAUCGGGGAGGUCAUCCUGGACAAUCUCUUUGAGGCCUCUGACCUGUCCCGGGAGACCUCCAUUUGGAAGGACAUCCAGUACGCCACGAGUGAAAGUGUGGACCUGGGAGAGAUCAUGUUCUCGCUCUGCUACCUGCCCACAGCAGGCAGGCUCACCCUCACAGUGAUCAAGUGUCGCAAUCUCAAGGCAAUGGACAUCACAGGCUACUCAGAUCCCUACGUCAAAGUGUCCCUGCUGUGUGACGGCCGGAGACUGAAAAAGAAGAAAACAACCAUAAAAAAGAACACCCUCAACCCUGUCUACAACGAGGCCAUCAUCUUUGACAUCCCCCCAGAAAACAUGGACCAAGUGAGCCUGCUCAUCUCCGUUAUGGACUACGAUAGAGUUGGCCACAAUGAGAUCAUAGGAGUCUGUAGAGUGGGGAUCAAUGCCGAAGGCCUUGGCAGGGACCACUGGAAUGAGAUGCUGGCAUACCCACGGAAGCCCAUUGCACACUGGCACUCCUUGGUGGAGGUAAAGAAAUCCUUCAAAGAGGGAACCCCUCGGUUGUGAUUUCACUCACGUGGAUGCUGCAAGCGGAGAGACAGCCACUGGAGUUAGGAUGGCAGGGCCGAGCUGCCAGCUUCGACAGUGAGAGCUCAUGCCCAUCUCCGAAACCACCUCCGACACCAUGAGCCGCACAGCCGAGCCACACAAACGGGACUCAGCAACGUUCUUUUCACACUUGUUCCGGUCGUCCAAACGCAGUGUUUGUGCAGUCACGGUGAUGGCCGAGCCGCCGCCACAGCAGCCACUGCCUGCAGCCCAUGGUCUUCACUGCUCCUGUGCGGGGCAAGGCCGAGACACUUGUCCUUUGUGAUCAGACCUGUCUUAGUCUUUUCUGUCUCCCAAGGUGAUGUUUUCAUGGUUUUUCGCUUUGUUUGGGUCUGCUGUCAAGAAGGAAAGGAAAACACAGUGGUUAGAGACAUAAAACAAAGAGUGGAGAGCCCAGAAGUUGGUUCUGGGACAUACAAUGUAAAAUAAGCUGUCUACUGGGGAAAGGCAGACUGAAUCUGAGAUUUUGUGCCUCCACCAAGCGCUCACCCCUGGAGCUGUGGCCGUGUUUUCAGUGUCCUGCAAGAACGGGACCUAUCAAUCUCGGAGCCUGUCUGGGGUGGAUUGUUCUUCUUGGGAGCUCUUCACUGCAGUGACACAAGCCAAGACAUGGUCCUCUUGUCCCACGUUGAAAUCAUGAGACCUCUGUCGUGUUUGUGACUCUGUGGGGGAUCCCUGCUCCCCUCUUUCCCCAACUGGAACCGUUUGGAUUCCUCGCGGGAACUUAGCACUUUCCUUAGGAAUGGUCCCGCUGAAACUAACCACGCCAUAUGUUUUCCAACACGCCACAGUUAAUGAUCACAUUUGUUUGAAAACACGAGCUUAGUUCUCAAAAAUAACCUUCACUGUAAAGAAAGGAGGCGCAUAUGUUCCAGAACGAUUUCUGUGUUAUACAUAGCUUUAUAAUUCCACAAAGUACCAAGCAGCUGCUUAAAAUGCCUAAACAGAGCAAAGAAAAAAAUCUAGAUAACAUGUUCUUAUCUGAAUGGGGCAUUUUGAAAUCCAAACCACAUUUUUAAGUCUGCCUGUCUGUGAAGAGCCUCCUGUUAGUUGAAACCCAGUCAGCCAGAGACUAGUUCAGACUCUGGGUCACUAACUCACCUUAAACUUUAGUUCUAUUAACUAGUAAGUAUUCUGUGUUGUUUGUUUCUGUCUCAGUGAGAGGAUCUUUGCUUGUUUGUUUUUCUAUUAGAUCUCUACCUUAGGCCAAAUUCAGUUUAGAAAACAAAAACGAACGACUGUAUUUAUAAUAGCACAUUCCUACUGAGUGACUAGUGGCCUUCCCACUAUGCCCUGGAAGCAGGGUGAUCUUCUCAGUCUAAAGCAAACACAUAAAGGUGAGUUACCACUCCGCUUGUGGCUACACGGUACCGAUUUUCAGCGCUGUAAGACUUGCAGGAAGCCAGUCAGCUGGGGAGAAACCCUUCUUUCAACAACCGAAGGUCAAGAACACAAAAGCCACCCUCAUACCUCGUGUCUUACUCUCUACCUAUGCCCCCAUGCUAUAGGAGUAGCGAUUUAAUAACGUAGCUCCCAUUUUAAGUCAAGCCACUAAGUUUCUCUUCUGAUCUAACUUUAUGUCUUCGUCUGCUAGCCAGAAGAGUGGUCAGAUUGGAAUGAGCCAACAGGAUAUUGUGGCAAGAGAAGCAGUCCACUUUUCUAGUAAAUGUAGAUGAGUCUAGACCCCACUGAGUAUGAGCCUUGGGCUAGGGGCUGGUGUGUAAAGAUUUUCUCCCCAAAUAUCUUGAUAUGCCUUUCUGGUCAGGCAGUCCCCUAUUUGGAAGGACUCUUGAGACGGAGAAAACCCACAAGGUCAUGACAAGAGUCCCAGCAAGCAAGCAACUUCAUUGUGUUUCUUGACUCUAGCUGGACCACACUGAGGCUACCAUUGCAGUCACACAGCAGGGUAACUAGGAAGGAGACAGCUGGGUCCCCUGGGUCAUAAGGAACGUAGACGUUAGUGUGAGCACUCCAUCCUCCCAGAAGUGGGUUCCAAAUGCAUGCCCAGCUGCCACCCCUAAACCCUCAGGCAGGUGGGAUGCUCCAUUCUAAGCUUUUAGAGAGGAGGGUGUGGUCUGCAUGAAUUAUGGAAUAACACUGCCUGUCUGAGAGACCCUUCUAUGUCACAGAUACUCUGUCCCAUAAGUAAACAUCCCAAAAGUUUCCGGAAACCGUGCCCUGGUCAACCUCUUUAGUUCCAACAGCUUUGGUAUACAUUAGGCAUGGAGCCCACUCCAAGAAGGCUUUUAGCUCCCGGGUUCCCUUCCCCGAAGUCCCCACCAAGGGUGGCCAGAUCAGUCCUCCUCAUCCUGAAGCAUGAAUGAUAUGAACAGGCUUCUGCUUUCAUUAGCCUCAGAUUCCUCCCUCACAGAUGAGAACUCACGGAAAGCUGAUGCAGAAUAAACUGGAAUUCAAAGUUGACUAGCUUGUUGGCUUUCCCUAGUGCAAGGAACCCUUGGGGUUGGUGGUGAGCUUUGCUGAAGUUGUGAUAACCCAGUCAUUUGCACAUAGAGGUUUGCAAAAGACACCAGAUUCUCCUCUCCUUCAUUUCGCAGUGUUUCUUGGCUGAGAGAUGCUCCCCUCCCCCUUUGCACUUACCCAGGAUGUUAAUUAAUUGUAUCAUCAUUUAAAAAAAUUAUGUUGUUAAUUACUGCUUUGUGUCUUCCCACCCCUGUCACAGCCUGGAGUUUUUAUUCAAUUAAAUCUCUGUCUCUUGCCCA